ensembl:lncRNA
GUGUGUCUGUCCCACAUGUCCCUGCACAAACGGGAGGGGAUCAAACGCCCUUUCAGACGCAGGAAGACCUCGUGAAAUACAAUUUCUUUUUGCCUUCUGGAUCUUCAUAUCUGGUUGCUUUCUUACAGCCUUUUGACCUCACCAUGGGCUCUAAUCUAAAAGUCAUCUUCCUGUUUCUUCGAUUGCUUCACUAUGGAGGAGGAGAUGUCAGUGUACAGCAGAAACCUCUAAUCAAGGUUGCACUGCUUAAGGAAAAAGUAUCCAUCCCCUGUGAAGUCAUCUUCCCGUACAAAAUGAAAUACACCAGAUUUACAAUCUUCUAUUACUGGAUUAAUGCAUGGGACCAGGAAGUAUCCAUCUGUAAUAAGACAGAACAAGUAGAUAUCCCUCCUGGAGAAGAAAAUAAGACUGCCAUCAAAUCUUACAAUCACAAAACAAAGCCGCUUGAAAGCACCUCUUCUACUGGCACAUACUACUGCAAAGUUGAAUGGAAUGACAUCCAGAUAAAGGGAAAGGGAGUGUUUGUCCUUGUUAGAGGUACAGGGUAUGCACAGACCUCUUAUGGGCGAGAAAUCCUCAUUACCCUUACCACUCUUCUGGCUGCACUGAGCAUCACCGCAACAGCUCUGCUAGUGUGGAAAAGAAAGAUAUUGUGUCCUAAAAAGAACCAGCUAAAUAUCAGGAGACAGAAGACAGAAACUCAGCCUCCUUUAGCAAGCCCACCACCACCUUCUCCUGUUUAUGACUGCCUGGAUUCGCAGCAAGUUGAGGUCUACUCUGUCCUUGAGAACAACACGAAGAUCCCAGAACACAGAAAGAGUCUUCCAGACAAGACACCUAAGAAGGAAGAAACUCUAGAAGAAUACAGUGAUACACUGUAUGAGAAUAUCUAAGGGAAAACCUGACCCUGUGUGAAUCAGACAUCUUCCUGCACGACAAAGCUACUUUCUACACCCUCAGUUCUCUGUGAAGACCCACAGUGACUUCAGGACACAGCCAUGGGGAACUCAUGAACCUUGGGCUCCCUCCAGACUGCCCUUCAUUAGCAGCAGAAUACAUCUGUUCAGAUCCCAUGGGGGCUCAGUCUGUAUUUAUGCAGCAAAGCUAUUUUGCAGCAAAGCUGUUUGAUGCAAAAGAAAAGCUGUUUUUUGUCGAGCAGUCACACAUAUCUUAAAAAUGGUGCAGAUGGGAUCUGUGGAGGUUUCUCUCACCUGGCCUGGCUGAAAUACUUGAAUCUUGAUCCUCGGAAGUAGUAUCACAGUCCAGAGACCUCGCUGCUUGCUGACCUGAUCUUUGAAUCCUGACCUGCAGCAGUUCAUCUGAUCCUGUGCCUAUGGCUUUCCUGACACAGUCAUCAGGCCUUCAUGCAUAGUUUAACGAAGAUCCAAGCAUCCACCUGCCCAUUUUUCCUUUCUCAGGAACCCCACAGUGAAACAUGCUUUCUCAUAAUCUGCUAAUCCCAUCAAGUAGUCACAGAUGCCUGCUGUGACCAUACUCAACUGACUCAAAUAAGUGCCUUGGAAGAAAUGCUUUCCCUUCAGCAAUAUCAGCAGUAUUGGUCGAGGGAUGGAUGCAUGAACAGAAAUAAAAAUGGAGUUGAGGAAGACA